UACGAAGGGGGCUAGCGUUGCUCGGAAUCACUGGGCGUAAAGGGUGCGUAGGCGGGUUUUUAAGUCAGGGGUGAAAUCCUGGAGCUCAACUCCAGAACUGCCUUUGAUACUGAAGAUCUCGAGUCCGGGAGAGGUGAGUGGAACUGCGGAGUGUAGAGGUGAAAUUCGUAGAUAUUCGGCAAGAACACCAGUGGCGAAGGCGGCUCACUGGCCCGGUACUGACGCUGAGGCACGAAAGCGUGGGGAGCAAACAGG
rnacentral:rRNA from 1 species